rnacentral:lncRNA from 1 species
AUCCAGUGUGCUGAGCCAUUAGACUUUUCUGCAAGGUCUCCUCCAGUUGCCACUGCACCCCAUUGCUUCCCCAUCACUCCAUUCAAGCUCUGCCAGAGUUCAUUUUGGGAGAAUCAGACCUGUGGUUUCACUGGCAUUGAGAACUCCCUCGAGGAAGUUCCCUGUACCAAUGCAGUCAGCACCCCAUCUGCAACAAAGACUGAGAGGCUUGCCCAGUCCAUACUGCCGGUAUGUGUCAGAGGUGGGAUUUGAACCCAGGUCUUCCUGACUCUCAGGCUACACUCUCUCCAUUAUACCAUCCUGCCCCACUGCAUUGAGCACAGUAGGUGCUUAUUAAAAAUCUUUUGUUGAUUCUUCCCCAGAGCUUUCCCCUUCAGAUGAUACACUGAUUGACAAGCAGGGGUGGAGAACCUACAGCAUUGAGGCUACAUGUGGCCCUCUAGGUCCUCCAGUGCAGCCCAAAGAAACAAAUUUGUUCUGUGAAGUUUGGAUUCAGUCAAAGGGCUGCACUUGAGGACCUAGAGGGCCAGAUGUGGCCUUGAGACUGCAGAUUCCCCACCCCUGGGCGAGGGAUGUAGAGCAAGCAUCCAAAAGACCCAAAC